rnacentral:rRNA from 1 species
UACGUAGGGGGCGAGCGUUGUCCGGAUUUAUUGGGCGUAAAGAGCUCGUAGGCGGUUCGAUAAGUCGGAUGUGAAAUCUCCACGCUCAACGUGGAGGGGCCAUUCGAUACUGUCGUGACUCGAGUCCGGUAGGGGAGUGUGGAAUUCCCGGUGUAGCGGUGAAAUGCGCAGAGAUCGGGAAGAACACCGGUGGCGAAGGCGGCUCUCUGGGCCUGUCCUGACGCUCAGGCGCGAAAGCUAGGGGAGCGAACAGG